AUUCAGCUAACGAGUCCGAAAUAGGACGAAAAGCGUGUCCUGGAU
rfam:Schistosoma mansoni, Puerto Rico, WGS project CABG01000000 data, contig: 0192